CCUACGGGAGGCAGCAGUGAGGAAUAUUGGUCAAUGGGCGGAAGCCUGAACCAGCCAAGUCGCGUGAGGGAUUAAGGCCCUAUGGGUCGUAAACCUCUUUUGUCCGGGAGCAAGGUCGUCCACGUGUGGGGGUAUGGAGAGUACCUGGAGAAAAAGCAUCGGCUAACUCCGUGACAGCAGCCGCGGUAAUACGGAGGAUGCGAGCGUUAUCCGGAUUUAUUGGGUUUAAAGGGUGCGUAGGCGGGACCUUAAGUCUGCGGUAAAAUGGCGGGGCUAAACGCCGGAGUGCCGUUGAAACUGGGGCCCUUGAGUGAGCGAGAAGUAUGCGGAAUGCGUGGUGUAGCGGUGAAAUGCAUAGAUAUCACGCAGAACCCCGAUUGCGAAGGCAGCAUACCGGCGCUCAACUGACGCUGAGGCACGAAAGUGCGGGUAUCGAACAGGAUUAGAUACCCUAGUAGUC
rnacentral:rRNA from 1 species